rnacentral:rRNA from 1 species
AGAUUGAACGCUGGCGGCAUGCCUAACACAUGCAAGUCGAGCGGGAGUAGCAAUACUCUAGUGGCGGACGGGUGAGGAAUACGUAGGAAUUUGCCCUUAAGUGGGGGAUAACCCGGGGAAACCCGGAUUAAUACCGCAUGACCUCGAAAGAGCAAAGUGGGGGAUCGCAAGACCUCACGCUUUUUGGAGAAGCCUACGUCGGAUUAGCUAGUUGGUGAGGUAUGGCUCACCAAGGCGACGAUCCGUAACUGGUCUGAGAGGAUGAUCAGUCACACCGGAACUGAGACACGGUCCGGACUCCUACGGGAGGCAGCAGUGGGGAACUAUUGGACAUGGGCGCAAGCCUGACUCCAGCAAUGCCGCGUGUGUCGGAAGAACGGCCGUUCGGGUUGUAAACGGCUAACGUUUAAGUUAGGGAAACGUAAAAAACGUUCGACUUACCGUAACUAAC